GCUGGGUGUGGUGACUCACACCUGUAAUCCCAGCACCUUGGGAGGCAGAGGUGGGUGGAUCAUCUGAGGUCAGGAGUUCAAGACCAGCCUGGCCAACAUGGUGAAACCCCGUCUCUA
ensembl:misc_RNA Metazoa_SRP Metazoan signal recognition particle RNA